AAUCAGCAGUUGCUACCAAUAAUCCUCAUCCCCGGGUGCUAAGGUGCAGCUGAGUUACACAUUUGGACUUGAUGAAGAGCCUACAAAUAGUCCUUGGUUAAUGUGGAUGGGAUGUAGGGGUCAGGAAAGUCCUUCAUGCUUUUUUUGAUACUACUAAUACUACUACUAAUAUUUCUGUAGCACCUAUGAGAAUAAAAUACCAUUUCCAUGUGUCAGCCCUUUUGAUCCUCACUAAAAAUGUAUUCAGGAAGAUAAGCAAGCCAGCUAGCAAGCAAAGGUAGCCAUGCAGCAAAUUAAACAACAGUGCAUAUGAAGAAUUCCAAUUUCAAGGAAGAAAAGAAAAAACCUGUAACACUGCCUGGAAAGCACAGCUAUUAAAGCAGAGAGACUUUUGAAGCUACAGAACACGGAACUCCUGCGCAUUGGGUACCACCAAGUUCCAACUACAAAGCUUGGGAAGGUGGAAACACCAAAUUCCGAGGGAGUCAGUCCUAAAAACUGCAGUGAUGCAGUCCAGACUGAGCAAAGCACAUGCUUAACUGUAAGCAACUUCAGAAUCACAUGGCAGGACCUCCUCUUCCUUGCAGCUCUCUGUGAAGCAAUGGCUUGUGUAUGUUUUUAUACACCCAGCUGUGGUAUGAUGGCUCUUUCCCUUUCUUUGGUGGCUCUGAAAGUAUGGAGAAAAGAUGAGGUGUGCCCUGGACACCUUCUUCUGCAGUUCUCCCUCACUCCUACACCUCUCCCCCUUUGAAGAGGUCGAGAGCAGUUUAGUGUCAGGACUAAGUUGUUUCUACUCUUGACAAAAUAUGAACUCAAUUCAUUAUUUCUGCUGAAAAUGGGCUCGUGAUGUAAAUCAAGCACUGCAAAGAUGACAUUUCAGAAGAGGAGUAUUUAUGCUGGAAGGAGGAAAGAAGAAAUUCCCGUCAGUAUCCUGUCACUGAUUUUGGCACAUCAUGCUUGGUGGCAUAUUACAUGCUGCUGCACAAACUUCUUCUACAAAACACCUGUUCUCAUUCAAGUUAAAUUGCAAAAUUGCCAUGAGUUUCAACAUGACAGAAAGGCCUUGUGAGCUUUGCUGCUGGUGGAGUCACCACUGUACUCUUCCUGAAGCUCUGCCACCACACCACCAAACAGGCACAAGGCUCUGUCUUCCUGCAACCUGUAAUUUCACACACUUCUCUUGUAAAUGCUUGAAUUUCUGCCUUCCAAUAUGUUUUAUCUGAGUGCCACUGACAGGUACUGCAUAACACACAUGGUGCAGAACUGCAGCUGCCAAAGCUUCCUGGCAGAUUGGUCCUUUCAGUGCUGCUAAUUCUUUGCUGUUAACCUGAGUGAUCAGACUGAAAUCUGGAAAAGGAGCCCAGCCUACAUCACUCAAAAGAAAUCUCCUUUACCCUCCCCUGAUCUCCUACAUCUGAAAGAUUUCCAGCCAAGGUGCUGCCAUCUGUGCUCACAAGAGGGAGGAAAUUCUGUAGCUUGCCAUCUUUUGUAUUCUUUCAUGUAAUCUCUAUUUACGUGACCAAAACACUAGGAUUAGAAGAAAUACACAAAAGUAUUCCCAAAAGAAAUGGCAUAAGCAAUUUGAUUGUUUAUUUCCCAGGAGCUCUCCUCAUAUUAAAACCUCUCAAUCUCUAAAAUUAGUAGCUGGGGAAGAACAGAUCAUAAAAGAGCAAACUAAGAAAAAAACCCCACAAUCAUACAGCAGUAUCAGCUGGAUUUCUGCUCUGGAUCAGCUUUUGCUACUUAAAUAUGUAUUACUGGCAAAGAUUUCUUAGUGUUGUCUU